rnacentral:rRNA from 1 species
UUCGGUGGGGAUUAGUGGCGAACGGGUGAGUAACACGUGGGCAAUCUGCCCUGCACUCUGGGACAAGCCCUGGAAACGGGGUCUAAUACCGGAUACUGACCCGCUUGGGCAUCCAAGCGGUUCGAAAGCUCCGGCGGUGCAGGAUGAGCCCGCGGCCUAUCAGCUUGUUGGUGAGGUAAUGGCUCACCAAGGCGACGACGGGUAGCCGGCCUGAGAGGGCGACCGGCCACACUGGGACUGAGACACGGCCCAGACUCCUACGGGAGGCAGCAGUGGGGAAUAUUGCACAAUGGGCGAAAGCCUGAUGCAGCGACGCCGCGUGAGGGAUGACGGCCUUCGGGUUGUAAACCUCUUUCAGCAGGGAAGAAGCGAAAGUGACGGUACCUGCAGAAGAAGCGCCGGCUAACUACGUGCCAGCAGCCGCGGUAAUACGUAGGGCGCGAGCGUUGUCCGGAAUUAUUGGGCGUAAAGAGCUCGUAGGCGGCUUGUCGCGUCGGUUGUGAAAGCCCGGGGCUUAACCCCGGGUCUGCAGUCGAUACGGGCAGGCUAGAGUUCGGUAGGGGAGAUCGGAAUUCCUGGUGUAGCGGUGAAAUGCGCAGAUAUCAGGAGGAACACCGGUGGCGAAGGCGGAUCUCUGGGCCGAUACUGACGCUGAGGAGCGAAAGCGUGGGGAGCGAACAGGAUUAGAUACCCUGGUAGUCCACGCCGUAAACGGUGGGCACUAGGUGUGGGCGACAUUCCACGUCGUCCGUGCCGCAGCUAACGCAUUAAGU